GCAAUGCGCGCUCCCGACGCAGGAAGGAGGAACAGAUUUCCACAGAGGAACAGAAUCACAAGAUCUCUACAGCAGAACACGAAGAAAAUCAACCACGGAUCUUAGGACGUUGCUGACCAAAGUAAAUCAUAAAGUGAAUGUCUGACGAUGAUGAACAUUCAACUGAAAACUAACUUCAUCGCGAUGUAAGACUGCAGGGAAUGUGCAGAGCUUCCUGUCUGGUAUCGCAAACCUGAAAACCGACGAAGAGCAAAAACCCACGGAUCUUAUGACAUUACUGACCAAAGGAAAUCAUAAAGUGAAUGUCUGACGAUGAUGAACAUUCAACUGAAAACUGACUUCAUCGCGAUGUAAGACUUCAGACGUUGACCUUCAGCAUUAAGAGUCAAUUUGGUUCAUCCUCUAUGAGAGGAUGUUUUCUGUUCCAGACAAGUUUCAUCCUCAUCCUGCCUUUGACAAUGACAUCUUGGGCAACAACAUCUAUGCUGCUGGUGAUUCUGAUGAGAAACUUCAGAGUCAAAUCCAUCACAUGUCAUCUAACUGAAUACAAGAUAGGAGAAGAGUGCUGUCCUAUGUGUUCUGCUGGCCAUAGAGUCAGAAUAGACUGCACUGAGUUUAAAAGUACAUCCUGUCAGCGAUGCACAGAUGGGACAUUUAUGGACCUGCCAAAUGGACUAAAGAGAUGUAAUCCAUGUUCUACCUGUGAUUCAGGAGCUGGUCUGAAAGUAAAGCGACAAUGUGUAAUAACUGCUGACACAGUUUGUGAACCAAUGGAGGGAUUCUACUGUACAGACCUUAAAUCAGGAGGUUGUUCUGUAGCACAGAAACACAGGAGCUGUGAACCAGGACAUUACAUCAGCAGGAUGGGAACAGCCUCCACAGACACAGAAUGCUCUGAAUGCAGCAGUGGAUCAUUUUCUGAUGGAACAAUGUUGUCAUGUCAGCCUCACACACAAUGUGAAAACGAAAACCUUCAGCUGAUAAAAGCAGGAACAGCUUCAACUGAUGCUGAAUGUGGAGAAAAAAGUUACAACACCACAGAAAUUGUGAUCAGUGUUUUGUUUUUGGUGUUUUUAUUAGUUGCAGCAGCAAUUGUUGUUGUUGUUGUUCUCUGGAAAAAUAAAAAAAUUAAAAUACCAAACAUUUGUACAAAACGACAAAAACCCUAAAGGGACCAAGCAGGAGAACAGAGAGAGUGUUUAAAUGCACAAGGACAAUAAACACACUGAUGGUGACAAGCUACUAGCUAGUAGCCACAGCUUCCCUGGGACAGUCUAACACAGGCAUGUCCAAAGUCCGGCCCGGGGGCCAAUCACGGCCCGCGGUCAGAUUUUAUACGGCCCGGUUCGGUUCCAGCUUCGGUUUUAUAAUGUAUUAUUUAUGGCCCGCCUGCACUGUGAAACAGAAUAAAUAAAUCAUAAAACUUGAAACUGUAAUUCC